GGAGAUGCCAUAGCUCAGUGUUAAGAGCAUCUGCUUUGCAUGCAGAAGGUCCCAGGUCCAAUCCACAGCAUCUCCA